AGAACGAACGCUGGCGGCAGGCCUCAAACAUGCAAGUCUAGGGGGUGUAGCAAUACAUCACCGGCGGACGGGUGCGUAACGCGUGGGAAUAUACCUAUUGGUUCGGAACAACUGAGGGAAACUUCAGCUAAUACCGAAUGUGUCCUUACGGAGAAAGAUUUAUCGCCAAUAGAUUAGCCCGCGUUCGAUUAGCUAGUUGGUGGGGUAACGCCCACCAAGGCGACGAUCGAUAGCUGUUCUGAGAGGAAGAUCAGCCACACUGGGACUGAGACACGGCCCAGACUCCUACGGGAGGCAGCAGUUGGGAAUCUUGGACAAUGGGGGAAACCCUGAUCCAGCCAUGCCGCGUGAGUGAUGAAGGCCUUCGGGUUGUAAAACUCUUUCGCGCACGACGAUAAUGACGGUAGUGCGAGAAGAAGCUCCGGCUAACUUCGUGCCAGCAGCCGC
rnacentral:rRNA from 1 species